rnacentral:sRNA from 1 species
GCCUGGUGAGGUGGCGCAUUCCUGUAAUUCCAGCAGAUCUGGAGGCUGAGACAGGAGGAUCACGAGUUCAAAACCAGCCACGGCAAUGGCAAGGCACUAAACAACUCAGUGAGACCCUGUCUCUA